rnacentral:tRNA from 1 species
GCGGGUAUGGUGAAAUGGUAGACACAAGGCGCUUAAAACGCCUCGCCUUAAAAAAGCGUUCCAGUUCGAGUCUGGAUAUCCGCACCA